rnacentral:lncRNA from 1 species
CCAGGAACUUCUGCCUGCUAGUAAGAAGGUAAGAAGACAAUUUGACCAGCAAGUGCUAGGGGACAGUCCUUAGAAAGCAUGGAGUGAGCGCAUCAUAGUAUGCCCUUAGUUGGACAGCCUGCAGGAUUGGCAGGUAGCCUGACAUGCAUUCAUGCCAGGUUGACCUUCCAAUUCUUUGAACAACUGGCUCCCUUUUUGACAUGUUCUCCCCUUUUGGCAGGUCUGGUCACGUGAUUUGCACCAGUGGCACACCCUUUUACCCCACCCAUUGACUUCCAGCUUCACUGGACACUGCUGUUAGGGGGUAUGGAUUUACUUGAAAGAUGAAAGCAUAAAUUAGAGAGAGAUUAGCAUAGAGUAUGUGUUUUCUUAUAGCUGCAUCCUAUGAGUUUCCCUCCAGCACCAACUCCAUCAGAUACAUGACGCUUGGUAGGUAUGAUUGUUUUAGUGUUUUUGGUCGAUAAGAUUCUGUAAUUAGGCCCAUCAUAAUUGUCAGCACCAGGCCCACUGUGCCCUUAAUCCGGCCCUGCCUAUGUCUACCUGUAAUCUGUAAUAGUGAUAAAUCCUAUAAAUCCCGUCUGGCAGAGACUGAAGCAAUUACCCUAUGGCUUCCUGUGAACUCUAUAUAUUCAGCAGAAUUAAAACCAUGAUUUGUUACUACUUUAUUUCUUGUUUUGUGAGUUAGUACCUAUUCUGCUUAACAUAAAGAACUAUUUACAGUGUAUUGAAGUGAAUAUAAAGCUAUUAGGCCAUGUAGAAUUCUCUCUGAUUUUUAUCAAAGUGUUUUCUAUCAGUCUUGUAAAACAGGAAUUACAUCAGCCCCCAUCAGCACAAUACAUAGGGAUUUCACUUCUUCAUUAACCAUCUAAAUAGGGUUGCCAUGCCCACCAUGUUUUCCUAGUAACACAUAAUUUGCUGCUGCUCAAUCCUAGCAUAGCCUAGCAUUGAGAGCCUAUCAUUUUAUGGCUUGACCACACAAUACUUGUCUCGUGCCAUCCAAAUAUUCUGAUGCAUAAUCAGGCGUCCCAACUGUCCCAGUUUUCGGGUCCUCUCCCGCUAUUCCAACCAUGUUCCCUGGUUUCCCGCUCUUGGAGACACCAGUGAACUGACCUCAACAAGUAUAACACAAACGCAUUAUUAGGGCACAGGGACAUAAAUGUCAUUAAAUGGGGGCAAUUGCUGCCCCUAGAUCAUGCUUUGCCCCCCAUCAAACUUCUAUGACUUUAAAUGGCUGUUUUUUCCUCAUGUAGACUGAGAGCUGGCAGCUUGUGUUCUCCCUGCAAUGUCUCUUUUUCAGUCUCCCAGAAUGGCCGCUAUGUGUGCAAUGAGAGAUAGAGCCGUGACAUCACAUCCCUUCCCACCGUGUGUGAGAUGUGGGGAGGUGCAGGGUUGCCUGGAGAAGGAAAACAGCUUUGUGAUGGCAUGCUGCUGGAGAGGACAGAGAGUGAAAAGACACAAAAGGGAGGUAAGACCUGCACCCACUACAGCCCCGAACCCACCCUUGCACCCAGUAAAGCUCCUAACUUUUGCUGCACCACGUGUUAAAUCAGAUCCUAGGGCUGCUCCCUGACUUCCACUGUGUAUAUUUCCUGGUGAAGCUGUAUCCAAAUGUGAUCCAGUAUCCUGAAGUCUUCGUAGGCCUGCAGCCUGAUGAUCUUGCAACCUGGAAGAAGAAAAUGACAUCCUGGGUAGGCCGUCCUCAAUAAAAUAAAAU